rnacentral:rRNA from 1 species
GUGGGGAAUAUUGGACAAUGGGCGCAAGCCUGAUCCAGCCAUGCCGCGUGAGUGAUGAAGGCCCUAGGGUUGUAAAGCUCUUUCGCCAGGGACGAUAAUGACGGUACCUGGAUAAGAAGCCCCGGCUAACUUCGUGCCAGCAGCCGCGGUAAUACGAAGGGGGCUAGCGUUGUUCGGAAUCACUGGGCGUAAAGCGCACGUAGGCGGAUUGUUAAGUCAGGGGUGAAAUCCCGAGGCUCAACCUCGGAACUGCCUUUGAUACUGGCGAUCUAGAGUCCGGGAGAGGUGAGUGGAACUGCGAGUGUAGAGGUGAAAUUCGUAGAUAUUCGCAAGAACACCAGUGGCGAAGGCGGCUCACUGGCCCGGAACUGACGCUGAGGUGCGAAAGCGUGGGGAGCAAACAGGAUUAGAUACCCGAGUAGUCC